rnacentral:lncRNA from 1 species
AUGGGCCAUUUCAAAUUGAAUUCUUUAAGUCAAUCCUAUUUUGUCAUAUAUUUAACAGAUCCCCUCCCCUUUUUUUUGGUUCCUAGAAUUUUCUGUCUCGAUGAAUAUAAUUUUGUAAUUUUUUUUGGUUCAGCUGUGAAACUAGGAAGACCGAAGAUAACUAAUUCAACAUCGGCUGAAGCAUUCAUAGUCAUGUCGGUCCAAAACUUCUCGAUCGCUGACAGUGUAAGAAGUGCUCCUUGGUCCAUUAGAAUCACGAAAAAUCCAAUUUUCUGAAACUGCACCUGCUAAAUGUGGAUUAUCAUCUUAACCAUGUUUGUUUUUAUAUGUUUUUGAGUGCUCUUUUAUAUUUUCUUUUCAUUUGCAAUCUUCAUGGUGUAAUGUUAACUCAAGUUCGUGGCUGCUCAAGAUGUCGUUUACCCUAAUACAAAGAACAGAAACCUCACGGAACGUUGAGGUAAUCUUGCCACAGAAAUGGCAUGGAGAAGGUCGUAGGAAAGGCUACUACAGAAACCUUCUUCAAAACUUUGAUGCCUCUACGUGUUGGAUUUUCACUCUGAUGAUGUGGCAAUAAGUCGGUAACACAGUUAAAAGGCUCUGAUAUCCUACCAUCAUUUCUGCGGUAAUGUUUUUAUCUCUUGCCUUUGAAUGGCUCUUAUAAGAUUUUCACAAUAUCAUUGCCUUGUGCUGAUGACUACUUUGUGCCAGUAAGCACCACCUUGCGCCUGGAACUUUCUGUGGUAACUUUUCCUAACCGCUCUGGAAUAUUCUUUGUCGACCUUAGAUGCCCAGGCCAUCGGUAAUUUUAAUGUAGUGGUCCUGACCAGAAAUCAUUAACGUGACAGGAAGGUCAUGAUAACUUGGCCAAGGAAAAAACUAUUUCUACCGCAACAUCGAAGGAACGUUUCCAUGGAAAGAAUCAAAGAGCAACCUAGUUGCAGAAAAUUGAACUGCUCAUCUCAUUUGAUAAUAAAGUUGUCCAAAGUUUUUGCCAAUUCUCUUAGAAAACGCUGCUGCGGCUGAUUUACGUUAGCAAAUAUGACAAUGUUUUCCUAAGGGUUGCCUCUGUUUGGGUAAUCAUAGUGACCAAUUUUGGUCUAUAGAGGGAGCAGUAAUGUAGUAGCAAUUUAUGCUGUUUUCUUGCAUUCCUGAGAUAGGCCCUUCCACCUAGUUAAAUUUUGAUGGCCAAGUGCGAAACCCAGCGUAUCUCCAUUGCGGUGUUUGAAAUUCAUUUCUCCUUUUUUUUUUGGAAGAGAAACAAGCUAACUUCAUCGCUUGAAAUUUAUACUGAGUAUUGCUGAUAGAGAAGAAAAAUUGAGGAAGUUUUAAAAGAACUUACGUGACUGGUUUUUCCAAAGAAAAAAUAGAGCAUGACAGAAGUCUACAAUAUUGCAAACGGAAGUCCAUGGUUUCGCACUUCGGCCGGUCGAUUUGGUGGUACGGAAAUGAACUGUAAAAUUUUACAUGUAGGUAAUUUUAACACCCAAGGUCGUCGUGACACACAUUGAAUGCUGCUGCAAUUUUUGUGCUUUUUCCCCCCUUUACAAGCAAUUUUUAAGGGAUUCUGAAGUUUUUUUAUGUUUUCAUUCCCCACUAUUUUGUUUUAGGAAGUGAAGACCUUCAGAAGGCCUAAUAAUUUGUUAUUGAUGGGACCCCAAUCCCAUCACCCCCGCCUUUUUUUGAAUGAUACUGCUCUAAUUUUUCUUAAGAUGGUUGUAAUUUCUGAAAUGUUAGGUGUCCUUGAAAUUUUAUGCUAAUGCUGUAAUUUGAAAACUGGCCAAUUAAACUGUCCAAUUAAUAAAUGGCCGAGAACUUAUUAACAAUGAUCUCUGCCUAUCAAAGUAAUUAACUCCUAAUAAAAUUGCAAAAUUGUCUCUGGUUUAUCGUAAAACUGUUCAGUUUAUCUUGGUCCUUGGAAUCUUUUGGGAACAGUUGCAGCUAUUGACAGACUUGACUCAGGGAAGUUUCGUCAGGAACCUUCAAAAGACAAAUGAGAAAUUGUACAGUUCCCCUCCAAAAAGUAUUCAAUUGCAUGUUUACCCUAUUUCAAAGAUGCUGUUACUCUGACGCUCCUUCUUCAGAUCAUGGUGGCUUGCUUAAAAAUUAAUUAAUUUCUCAAAUAGGAUUGAGAUCAGAUUCCUAAUUGGCUCAGUUUUCAAAUUUAAGCAUGAGUCCACUUAUUUUUGGGACACUUGUAGAAUUGAUGUGCCCUCAAGAAAUUUUAAGUUUCUGAUUGUCAAAAAAUAUUGUUUUACUCCUCUCUGCAACUCUUUACCUGUUGCAGACAUUUUUAUCGUAAAAUUGUUCGACUCUAAGGCUUUUCACUUUUAUCUUAUCAGCUGGGAUUGAACAUUCCCCUCGAUUUUAAUUAAUGCAGUAUUACCUUACUUUAAGCUUGACCCUAUAAAUUUUGGGUCAAUGGGUCGUUGUAAUGUUCAGGAUUUUCAAAAUGCAUAUAGAGCAUAGAGAAAAUACGGAAGGUGGUAGCAAGGCAGCCAUCUAGAAGAUUAGCUGUGACGUAGGAAUGUACACGGACUGGCGCGCUGUUCAAAAAAAAGUACCUACUUUCAUGAUGAUAUGAAUCUGUUUAAAGACCUACAUCACCACUGAAUCUAACAUUGAACGUCAUAUAUUUGAACAUUAGUUACCAUGACCCUCCAAUUUUUGCUUUUAUGACGUCCAGAACGUAAUCUAACAUGGUUAUACCUCAAAACGGGACGAGUCAAGAUAAAAGUUGAUAUUAAGUAUAUGAAAUAUACAUUUUUAACUCACAAUUAUUUUCAGUUACAGUCAAACAUUGGUAGAAAAACAUAUUGAACAUAAAAGUCAAUAGUUACGAGUUUUUUAGAGCCAAAAUAAGUGGGAACCUCACAACCUUUCCUGCUUCCUUUUAAAUUUCAAAAAGGGCUCAGUCUUCCCGUGAUACCAUUAACCAAUUAGAAAGGGGGCUUCAUUUUAGCUGUGAUGUAAAAAAGUACAUUUCUCUGCUUGCCGACACUCUCUGUGUUUUCUCUAUGAUAUAAGUGUGGUUAAAAGUGGUUUUGAAAAUGUGCUUUCGCACGAGCAUGUGAGAAUUAUUUUCGUCUAUUCUGACCAACCUGCAGAUUAAGUUAAUAUGAUUCAAUACAAUGAAUGUAAGGAAGUUUCUGGUCAUGGAAUUCUGGACUCCUGAACCUUUUUUAUGGUAGAUGAAUUUUCGCUUAUGAGGCACGUAUGCUAACAUUAAUUUUUGAA